GACGAACGCUGCGGCGUUCUUUACCCAUGCAAAGCGGACGGAAAGGCCCUUCUUGGCGGGGACCCGGGUUGGCAAAGGGGUAGUUAACCGGUGGGUAACUGGCCUGGCCUUUGGGGUUAGGCUGGGAAAAUGGGUCUAAUUCCCGGUAGGGACCAAUUUUUAUGGGGUGGGUUGGAAGGUUUUUUCGGUGUAGGAUGAGCUCGCGGCCUAUCAGCUUGUUGGGGGGGUAAUGGCCUACCAAGGCGGCGACGGGUAGCCGGCCUGAGAGGGUGGACGGCCACAUUGGGACUGAGAUACGGCCCAGACUCCUACGGGAGGCAGCAGUGGGGAAUAUUGCACAAUGGGCGCAAGCCUGAUGCAGCGACGCCGCGUGGGGGAUGACGGCCUUCGGGUUGUAAACUCCUUUCGCUAGGGACGAAGCUUUUUGUGACGGUACCUAGAUAAGAAGCACCGGCUAACUACGUG
rnacentral:rRNA from 1 species